rnacentral:lncRNA from 1 species
CGGUGUUCUAUCUCUAGUUGCAAGUAGCAUGCUUUCCCAAAAAUAAAGCGACAUGAAAACAUGCCUAUUGGUGUCUUGAAUGCUAUUCUUUAGGCCCACAAUUCGUUGUCCAUCUUUUUAGAUUAGUCCUUUUGCACUUAUUUGGGCCAUUAAAUUUAAUUAUUUGUGAGUUUCUUUAGUAAUUUAGUACUUAAUUUUGUUGUUUUUAUUGUGUAGGUGAAGACCCGAGUUGAACGAGAUGAUUAGAAAGAAUUUAUGUGAGAAAAGAGCUAAAGAUGAAAGAAAACGAAGAAGACGACCAAAGACGCAGCCGAAUAAAAAAAUUUUAUCAUAUAAAAGUGGGUAGAAAUUUGGGCGCUGUACUGCCCAGUUAAAGCCCCAAGAAAGGAGCAGAAUAUUUGGCGCCUAUGCGCCAAUCGGGGCAUUUUUGUUAAAUUACAGAAUCACAGGGACCAAGGCUCCGAUAUUCCUUUAGGUUACAUUUUAAAAAGGAGACUUUUCUUCUUUGCAAUUAGAGGCAGUCGGCUGGGGACUUCACAGCAGCUUCUUCACUGCCGAUUUUCUUCCUCCUUUUUUUUUUUUUUUUUUCCUUCUUCUUUCUCUUUCUUUUUCCUUCAUCUUUUCACCUUGGUUUUCUUGGAUAUUUUGGGGGAACUCAGAGCAUGAUGAUGGCGGAGUAGCUUGGAGAAGAAGACCAUUUGAUAUUGAAGAAACCUUCAACUAUUUCUCCAUUAUCAAUAAGCUUUUCUUUCUUUAAUCUAUUUUCCAUUGACGUUUUGUAAGAAAUUGUUGGUUAUUUGUGAAUAUUUCAUGGAUAACUAAUUAUAUUUGUGAUUGGGGAUUAUUUCAAAUCCAAAUUAUGAUUUUCAAUUUGUGCUUUAUAUUUCUUUUGAUUGAUGUGUUUAAUCCAUUGCGUUAAAUGUUUAUUUUGUUCUUCUUGAUUGUUUAGGCGUACAACUAAAUGAUUAAGUUGUUUCGAUGAAUGCUAUUUUGG